rnacentral:tRNA from 1 species
GUGGGGUUAGUUCAAUUGGCAAGAACUCCUGCCUUGCACGCAGAAAAUAACGGUUCAAAUCCGUUACCCUACA